rnacentral:pre_miRNA from 1 species
CGAGGGCCACCAGGGUCUGAGCUAUAGCAAAAGAAUGUCGCUCAGCCGUGAUGACCCUCAAG